UACGUAGGGGGCAAGCGUUGUUCGGAAUUACUGGGCGUAAAGGGCGCGUAGGCGGCCCGAGCAAGUCGGGAGUGAAAGCCCGGGGCUCAACCCCGGAACGGCUCACGAAACUGCGGGGCUCGAGUGCGGAAGAGGCAAUCGGAAUUCCCAGUGUAGCGGUGAAAUGCGUAGAUAUUGGGAAGAACACCGGAGGCGAAGGCGGAUUGCUGGGCCGACACUGACGCUGAGGAACGAAAGCUAGGGGAGCAAACAGG
rnacentral:rRNA from 1 species